rnacentral:tRNA from 1 species
GGUCCCGUGGUGUAGCGGUUAGCACUCAGUACUGUGAAUCCUCCGACUAGAGUUCAAAUCUCUCCGGGACUU